AUCUUCUGAUCCUACAGUAUUUUUCCUGCAUCUAAUAUCACCAGUGCCAUGCAGACAGGAACUCACAACAUGGUGGAACGUCAGCCCAGAGCUGCUGUUGUGAAGCCCAAUGCCAAAAACUGGAUGUGUCCAUUUUGACUUUAGACUCGCAGGCCAGCCAUCCUUCUUCUGCUACUACUAUGGGAGUCUGUGUGUUCCAGAUGCUCCAGAGCUAAAGAGGGCCUUUUGCCUGCUUCUCCGAUAAAUCUCCCAGAGACACGUUUGGCA